GCCCUAGUAGCUUAGAUGUCAUUUAAAGCGCCGGUCUUGUAAUCCGGAGAUCGGGGGUUAAAGUCCCCCCAUGUGCC
rnacentral:tRNA from 1 species